CUACGGGCUACUCCAGUGGGGAAUAUUGCACAAUGGGCGCAAGCCUAAUGCAGCAACGCCGCGUGAGGGAUGAAGGCCUUCGGGUUGUAAACCUCUUUUAGCAGGGAAGAAGCGAAAGUGACGGUACCUGCAGAAAAAGCACCGGCUAACUACGUGCCAGCAGCCGCGGUAAUACGUAGGGUGCAAGCGUUGUCCGGAAUUAUUGGGCGUAAAGAGCUCGUAGGCGGUUUGUCACGUCUGCUGUGAAAAUCCAAGGCUCAACCUUGGACUUGCAGUGGGUACGGGCAGGCUAGAGUGCGGUAGGGGAGAUGGGAAUUCCUGGUGUAGCGGUGGAAUGCGCAGAUAUCAGGAGGAACACCAAUGGCGAAGGCACAUCUCUGGGCCGUAACUGACGCUGAGGAGCGAAAGCGUGGGGAGCGAACAGGAUUAGAUACCCUCGUAGUC
rnacentral:rRNA from 1 species